rnacentral:rRNA from 1 species
CUUUACUAUAGCUUCGCCUUGGCGUUAGCAGCACUAUGUGUAGGAUAGGUGGGAGGCUAUGAAACCUGGGCGCCAGCUCGGGUGGAGCCAACCUUGAAAUACCACCCUUAUUGCUGUUGACGUCUAACCGACGACCGUUAUCCGGUCGCGGAACAUGGCGUGGCGGGUAGUUUGACUGGGGCGGUCGCCUCCCAAAGUGUAACGGAGGCGCGCGAUGGUGGGCUCAGAACGGUCGGAAAUCGUUCGACGAGUGCAAUGGCAUAAGCCCGCCUGACUGCGAGACUGACAAGUCGAGCAGAGACGAAAGUCGGCCAUAGUGAUCCGGUGGUUCUGCGUGGAAGGGCCAUCGCUCAACGGAUAAAAGGUA